rnacentral:rRNA from 1 species
UACAGAGGUCUCAAGCGUUGUUCGGAUUCAUUGGGCGUAAAGGGUGCGUAGGUGGCGGGGUAAGUCAGGUGUGAAAUCUCGGGCUCAACCCCGAACUGCACUUGAUACUGCCUUGCUCGAGUACUGGAGAGGAGAUUGGAAUUUACGGUGUAGCAGUGAAAUGCGUAGAUAUCGUAAGGAAGACCAGUGGCGAAGGCGAAUCUCUGGGACAGUUACUGAC